UAGAAGCAGCCAUCAUUUAAAGAAAGCGUAAUAGCUCACUGGUCGAGUCGGCCUGCGCGGAAGAUGUAACGGGGCUAAACCAUGCACCGAAGCUGCGGCAGCGACGCUUAUGCGUUGUUGGGUAGGGGAGCGUUCUGUAAGCCUGUGAAGGUGUACUGUGAGGUAUGCUGGAGGUAUCAGAAGUGCGAAUGCUGACAUAAGUAACGAUAAAGCGGGUGAAAAGCCCGCUCGCCGGAAGACCAAGGGUUCCUGUCCAACGUUAAUCGGGGCAGGGUGAGUCGACCCCUAAGGCGAGGCCGAAAGGCGUAGUCGAUGGGAAACAGGUUAAUAUUCCUGUACUUGGUGUUACUGCGAAGGGGGGACGGAGAAGGCUAUGUUGGCCGGGCGACGGUUGUCCCGGUUUAAGCGUGUAGGCUGGUUUUCCAGGCAAAUCCGGAAAAUCAAGGCCGAGGCGUGAUGACGAGGCACUACGGUGCUGAAGCAACAAAUGCCCUGCUUCCAGGAAAAGCCUCUAAGCAUCAGGUAACAUCAAAUCGUACCCCAAACCGACACAGGUGGUCAGGUAGAGAAUACCAAGGCGCUUGAGAGAACUCGGGUGAAGGAACUAGGCAAAAUGGUGCCGUAACUUCGGGAGAAGGCACGCUGAUACGUAGGUGAAGCGACUUGCUCGUGGAGCUGAAAUCAGUCGAAGAUACCAGCUGGCUGCAACUGUUUAUUAAAAACACAGCACUGUGCAAACACGAAAGUGGACGUAUACGGUGUGACGCCUGCCCGGUGCCGGAAGGUUAAUUGAUGGGGUUAGCGCAAGCGAAGCUCUUGAUCGAAGCCCCGGUAAACGGCGGCCGUAACUAUAACGGUCCUAAGGUAGCGAAAUUCCUUGUCGGGUAAGUUCCGACCUGCACGAAUGGCGUAAUGAUGGCCAGGCUGUCUCCACCCGAGACUCAGUGAAAUUGAACUCGCUGUGAAGAUGCAGUGUACCCGCGGCAAGACGGAAAGACCCCGUGAACCUUUACUAUAGCUUGACACUGAACAUUGAGCCUUGAUGUGUAGGAUAGGUGGGAGGCUUUGAAGUGUGGACGCCAGUCUGCAUGGAGCCGACCUUGAAAUACCACCCUUUAAUGUUUGAUGUUCUAACGUGGACCCGUGAUCCGGGUUGCGGACAGUGUCUGGUGGGUAGUUUGACUGGGGCGGUCUCCUCCUAAAGAGUAACGGAGGAGCACGAAGGUUGGCUAAUCCUGGUCGGACAUCAGGAGGUUAGUGCAAUGGCAUAAGCCAGCUUGACUGCGAGCGUGACGGCGCGAGCAGGUGCGAAAGCAGGUCAUAGUGAUCCGGUGGUUCUGAAUGGAAGGGCCAUCGCUCAACGGAUAAAAGGUACUCCGGGGAUAACAGGCUGAUACCGCCCAAGAGUUCAUAUCGACGGCGGUGUUUGGCACCUCGAUGUCGGCUCAUCACAUCCUGGGGCUGAAGUAGGUCCCAAGGGUAUGGCUGUUCGCCAUUUAAAGUGGUACGCGAGCUGGGUUUAGAACGUCGUGAGACAGUUCGGUCCCUAUCUGCCGUGGGCGCUGGAGAACUGAGGGGGGCUGCUCCUAGUACGAGAGGACCGGAGUGGACGCAUCACUGGUGUUCGGGUUGUCAUGCCAAUGGCACUGCCCGGUAGCUAAAUGCGGAAGAGAUAAGUGCUGAAAGCAUCUAAGCACGAAACUUGCCCCGAGAUGAGUUCUCCCUGACCCUUUAAGGGUCCUGAAGGAACGUUGAAGACGACGACGUUGAUAGGCCGGGUGUGUAAGCGCAGCGAUGCGUUGAGCUAACCGGUACUAAUGAACCGUGAGG
rnacentral:rRNA from 1 species